CCCUUAGAUGUUCUGGGCCGCACGCGCGCUACACUGACUGCUCCAACAAGUUACCUGGGCUGACAAGCAUCCGGGAAAUCUUGCAAAGGCAGUCGUGAUGGGGAUAGAUUCUUGUAAUUUUUGAUCUUCAACGAGGAAUUCCUAGUAAACGCAAGUCAUCAGCUUGCAUUGAUUACAUCCCUGCCCUUUGUACACACCGCCCGUCGCAUCUACCGAUUGAAUGGAGAGGCAAAAUCUUCGGACCGUGACGCUUGGGAGUCAAAUCUCGGGCUGUCGUGGGAAGUGGAUUAAACCUUUCUAUUUAGAGGAAGGUAAAGUCGUAACA
rnacentral:rRNA from 1 species